rnacentral:snRNA from 1 species
AUAUUCUGGUUUCUCUUCAGGUCCUAUAAAUCUUUCACCUUUUACUAAAGAUUUCCAUGGAGAGGAACAGUUAUGAGUCUUUCUACAAUUUUUUGAGGUCUUGUGUUUCAUGAGGCA